rnacentral:rRNA from 1 species
CGAGCGCAACCCUCGACCUUAGUUGCCAGCAUUCAGUUGGGCACUCUAAGGUGACUGCCGGCUAAAAGUCGGAGGAAGGUGGGGAGUGACGUCAAAUCAUCAUGCCCCUUAUGACCUGGGCUACACGCGUGCUACAAUGGGCGGUACAAAGGGUCGCGAACCCGCGAGGGGGAGCCAAUCCCAAAAAGCCGCUCUCAGUUCGGAUUGCAGGCUGCAACUCGCCUGCAUGAAGCCGGAAUCGCUAGUAAUCGCGGAUCAGCAUGCCGCGGUGAAUACGUUCCCGGGCCUU